GUAUUGAUAUUAUGUUACAGUGUUAAGGGAAGUAACUCUAAUUUGUGUUGUGUCACUUGUGUGUAAGAGUUUGUGUGCUAGAGUUAUGGUUCGUAGUGUGGGUCAGGUGUCAGUGUGUAUCCGGCAUGAGUAGUGCGUGCAUGGACCGUCAGAGUGGAAGCAUGUGGUUAUGUACCUGUAUACAUGAAUAAACUGGUAAAACCUUG